rnacentral:rRNA from 1 species
UCCCACCUGACCCCAUGCCGAACUCAGCAGUGAAACCGCUCAGCGCCGAUGGUAGUGUGGGGCCUCCCCAUGCGAGAGUAGGUCAUCGUCAGGC